rnacentral:tRNA from 1 species
GAGGGUGUAGCUCAGUAGGUAGAGCAACGCACUUUUAAUGCGUAGGUCUUGGGUUCGAGCCCCAACACCCUCA